AUUGAACGCUGGCGGCAUGCUUUACACAUGCAAGUCGAACGGUAACAGGGAGCUUGCUCCGCUGACGAGUGGCGAACGGGUGAGUAAUGCAUCGGAACGUACCCAGUCGUGGGGGAUAACGUAGCGAAAGUUACGCUAAUACCGCAUACGUCCUGAGGGAGAAAGCGGGGGACCGUAAGGCCUCGCGCGAUUGGAGCGGCCGAUGUCGGAUUAGCUAGUUGGUAGGGUAAAGGCCUACCAAGGCGACGAUCCGUAGCGGGUCUGAGAGGAUGAUCCGCCACACUGGGACUGAGACACGGCCCAGACUCCUACGGGAGGCAGCAGUGGGGAAUUUUGGACAAUGGGCGAAAGCCUGAUCCAGCCAUGCCGCGUGAGUGAAGAAGGCCUUCGGUUGUAAAGCUCUUUCAGACGGAAAGAAAUACGCAUCUUCUAAUACAAAGGUGUGGAUGACGGUACCGUAAGAAGAAGACACCGGCUAACUACGUGCCAGCAGCCGCGGUAAACUCGU
rnacentral:rRNA from 1 species